GACGAACGCUGGCGGCGUGCCUAAUACAUGCAAGUCGAACGAACGGAGAAAGAGCUUGCUCGUUGGAAGUGGGUGGCUGAUGUGUGGGUAACAGGUGGGUAACCGGCCUCACAUCUGGGGAUAAGAUCGAGAAAUCGAUGCUAAUCCCAAGUGUGCUGAACAGCAUAAGAUGUUCAAGUGAAAGACGGUUUCGGCUUUCACUGUUAGGUGGACCGUCGCGGGAUUAGCUAGUUGGUAAGGUAAUGGCUUACCAAGGCGACGAUCUAUAGCCGACCUGAGAGGGUGAUCGGCCACAUUGGGACUGAGACACGGCCCAAACUCCUACGGGAGGCAGCAGUAGGGAAUUUUCGGCAAUGGACGCAAGUCUGACCGAGCAACGCCGCGUGAGGGAAGAAGGCCUUCGGGUCGUAAAGCUCUGUUGUUAGAGAAGAACAUGGGUGAGAGUAACUGUUCACCCCUUGACGGUAUCUAAACAGAAAGCAACGGCUAACUACGUG
rnacentral:rRNA from 1 species